GAAGCGUGCAAAGCAUUCAUCAUCUUCUUCCUCAAAGAAACUUUAGGUUCACCUUCAACAAAACCCUAGCCGCCGCCACUCACCUCUGUUGCACGACGCUCGUUUUUGUCAUCUCCCUCCCUUCGAUCGUCAGUCACAGUGAAGGUCGCGCGUUCAGGCGUCGUUUCGUAUCCUCCUUCAUUCCGCCAUCACAAGUGCCCACCUUUGUUCGGCCAUUCUUCAUCUUCUCCAUCUUCCUCUGUUUCGCCGUCACUAUUCGAAGCCCCAUCAACUGCUCUCCUCGAUCGCCGACCAAGUCACCAAACGCUCAAGUCGUCCUCUACGUUCGAGUCGCAUCCAAGCCUCCCUUGCUUUGAAGCUGCAUCCUAGUCGAGUGCCAAUCAAGUCGAUCUCCUCCUCAUUGAACUUAGCGGAGCGCAUCUGCCCUCUUCCUCACUGAGUCCCACGUGCCUGUCUCAAUCACCCAAGUCGUUUUCCUUUAGUCGAGCCGUUAGCCUAGUUUUAGUCAUUCUUCCUCCUAGUUUUGGUUUGGCUAGAUCAAAUUGGAGGUUUUGUGCUAUUGAAUUUCCCCGAUCAAGGACUUGACUGUCAGGAAAGCUUGACCAUGACUAUUAGGAUAAUUUGGUUAAGUUAAUCUCAAGGUAAGAAAUUCUCCUACUAGACUCUCGUACUGAAGUUAAGAGUUUGCAUGUGAUUUUUCUAUUAUGCAUUGGUGUAGCUAAAAUGCAUAAUGUAUUGGAGACGUAUGUUGAUGACUAAUAGUUAUGAUUGAGUUAUGUUGAUGUUGAUGACUGACUUACGUUAAUGAUGAUGCUUGAAUUAUUACUCACAUGAUUAAGAAUGUUAGGAUUAAUAUUCAUGUCAUGAUAUGAUGUUAUGAUGUGCUACGAGAUCAUUAGAUUGCUUGUGUUUCGGGAACGUGCCAAUUUAGGGGUACUUCUUUACAGGACUCUAAUAGGAAGUUAAUAGACAGUCCCUUACUGAGUAUAUGUUUAUACUCACUCUUUCUAUGUUUAUUUUUUAGGCAAAGGUAGAGGUAGCGGUGGAGAAAAGCUAGCGAAUGAUAAGAAGUUACCGCGACUUGUCAUAGGAAAACGUUUUGUUUCCACUUUUAGUUUUUUUUUUCUUUGACUAUUUUUUUUUAAAAGUAGAUAGGGUCCGAAUUAGGAGUUUAUUUUAAACUUGAUUUCUACAUACUUUUAUUUAUUUAAAAUUUUAAUGAGUAUUUCAGGUUUUCAGUUAAAGUUAAUGUUAUUUUCUCAUUUUGUUAAGAAAGAGUUUUUAUUUUCUUUUAAGUAGUAAUAACCCCAAGUACUUAAUAUAAAAAGUUGGGUCUUUACCUUAUGUCUGAUAAAUUUGUAUAAAAAUUAUUAAUUAGUUUAGAUUGUAAUAUAAUCAUAUGGUUUUGCA